AUAUUAAUAAUAAUAGUAGUAGUAGUAGUAGUAUUUAUAUCACGCGUGAGCCCGUGCAAGCAUCGUUCAGCCAGCAUCGCGAUUAUUUUCAUCCAUCUUCGAGUUGGAGUUUUUUUUUUUUUUUUUUCCCCCAUUUUUUCCGACAAGAUUCCACGAGUUUUUCAUAUUUUUUUCCCCUUUCUUUUUCUUUUUUUCUUUUUUUCCUAUUUUCAUUUCCCUACUGUCGUAUCGCGCAAUCAACAUCUAAUUUCAUCAGUUUCAUUCAUUAUUCUUUCUCUUCAAGUCCGUCAGAAUAUAUUAAAUAUUUCGAUCGUGUUAUUAUUAAUUAUAUAUUAGUAUUUUAUAUCUAUGUAUCUAUAUACCUAUGUAUAUAUACAUAUACAUACAUGUGUAUAUACAUAUACAUACACACAUAUAUGUACACAUAUAUGUAUAUAUAUAAUUGUCAUUAUAUUAUAUAUUAUGCUUUAUCACACAUAUUACAAAGGAGGUGAAGAAUCAUACCUAACAUAUUAUUUGUUAUUUUGUUGUUGUUUGUUUGUUUGUUGUUGUUUUGUUGUUGUUGUUGUUCUUGUUGUUGUUGUUGUAAUUGUUGUUGUAGUCGUUUACUUUUCUUACAAGGGCGAUUUCAAACAAUAACUUCACUGCGAAUGUAGCUUAUCAUUAUUAUUAUUAUCAUCAAUCGUCAUCGUUAUUUAUUAUUUUUUCUUCUCUCUCUCUCUCUCUUUCUCUCUCUCUCUCUCCCUUUUAAAUUCUUAGCGCGCCAUCAUCGGCGGAUGCGUUUUCAUCGUGUGUACGCGUGCACGUUCGUACGUAUAAAAUUUCGCUAUGGGCGACUACAAUCGCGGUUUCCUUUAUCCAUACUUUCUCGCGGUUUCCCAUCCCACCCCCGCCCUCCC